AUUUUUUUAAAUAUAGGAAAACCGGAAAGGCAUGUGUAAGAGUCAUUCUAUGCAAAUGAAGUACUGGCAGUACCAUCUUUCACACCUUUGCAAUUGCUGUUCCAGAUAUUCAAAGCUGACUAAUUAGCAUCAAGACCUCAAUUCUCAUAGCCUUUAUCUAGUCAUUUGCUGGAAUCAACGUCAUAUGUGGACAUUAUCAGUCUUUAAUUGUUUUUAAUGCCACUGCUUCUCCAGGUACCAUGUGACUUUGUCCACUUAUGCUCACACCCAAUAACAAAGAAGAAAAAAAGGAGAAAAGGAUCAGAAAGAAGAAGAUGAGGCAGUGGCAGCAGAAGAAGAGAUAGCUGGAAAAGCUUCCGUCUUUUGUUGCCUUAUAUACACCAAUCCGACCUUGCUCAACUCUGCCUGAGCUGCAUAGUCACCUCUAAGCUUUCCCAAACCACAGAUGAUUGGAGGCCACCCCAGAAUUACUGAGUCUGAAUCUGCUGCAGUUGUGCCCAGGUGUGUGUGCAGUGUUUAAGUUCCCCAUGGACCAUUCUAAUGCACAACCAGAUUUGAGCAAUACUGGAUGGGGCAGUUUACCUGAGAAAAGAUCUUAUUUCAUUGUCAUGACAACCACAGAAAGUACAUACUUUGAUCUUCAUCUUAUAAACAAUGAAUCCAAGUCGCUGAGAAGUUAAAAACUUGCUCAGGGUAACACGUUACCAUGCUAUGGGCACCUGGUAUGAUGGGCUCCAUGGAUUCCUGGUGUAUAAGGGGAUACAAAGACACACAGAG
rnacentral:lncRNA from 1 species